rnacentral:pre_miRNA from 1 species
AUAAUACUCCCUCCGUCCGGAACUACUUGUCAUCAAAAUGGAUGUGUCUAGAACUAAAAUACAUCUAGAUACAUCCAUUUCAAUGACAAGUAUUUUCAUAUGGAGGGAGUAGUAG